GACGAACGCUGGCGGCGUGCUUAACACAUGCAAGUCGAACGGAUAGGCCCUGCUUUUGUGGGGUGCUCGAGUGGCGAACGGGUGAGUAACACGUGAGUAACCUGCCCUUGACUUUGGGAUAACUUCAGGAAACUGGGGCUAAUACCGGAUAGGAGCUCCUGCUGCAUGGUGGGGGUUGGAAAGUUUCGGCGGUUGGGGAUGGACUCGCGGCUUAUCAGCUUGUUGGUGGGGUAGUGGCUUACCAAGGCUUUGACGGGUAGCCGGCCUGGGAGGGUGACCGGCCACAUUGGGACUGAGAUACGGCCCAGACUCCUACGGGAGGCAGCGGUGGAGAAUGUUGCACAAUGGGCGGAAGCCUGAUGCAGCAACGCAGCGUGCGGGAUGACGGCCUUCGGGUUGUAAACCGCUUUCGCCUGUGACGAAGCGUGAGUGACGGUAAUGGGUAAAGAAGCACCGGCUAACUACGUG
rnacentral:rRNA from 1 species